CGAAAGCCUGACGGAGCAACGCCGCGUGAGGGAUGAAGGCCUCUGGGCUGUAAACCUCUUUUAUCAAGGAAGAAGAUCUGACGGUACUUGAUGAAUAAGCCACGGCUAAUUCCGUGCCAGCAGCCGCGGUAAUACGGGAGUGGCAAGCGUUAUCCGGAAUUAUUGGGCGUAAAGCGUCCGCAGGCGGCCUUGUAAGUCUGUCGUCAAAGCGUGGAGCUUAACUCCAUUUAAGCGAUGGAAACUGCAAGACUAGAGUGUGGUAGGGGCAGAGGGAAUUCCCGGUGUAGCGGUGAAAUGCGUAGAUAUCGGGAAGAACACCAGUGGCGAAGGCGCUCUGCUGGGCCAUAACUGACGCUCAUGGACGAAAGCCAGGGGAGCG
rnacentral:rRNA from 1 species